rnacentral:rRNA from 1 species
CGAUGAACCACUUCGGUGGGGAUUAGUGGCGAACGGGUGAGUAACACGUGGGCAAUCUGCCCUGCACUCUGGGACAAGCCCUGGAAACGGGGUCUAAUACCGGAUACUGAUCCUCUUGGGCAUCCAAGGUGUUCGAAAGCUCCGGCGGUGCAGGAUGAGCCCGCGGCCUAUCAGCUUGUUGGUGAGGUAAUGGCUCACCAAGGCGACGACGGGUAGCCGGCCUGAGAGGGCGACCGGCCACACUGGGACUGAGACACGGCCCAGACUCCUACGGGAGGCAGCAGUGGGGAAUAUUGCACAAUGGGCGAAAGCCUGAUGCAGCGACGCCGCGUGAGGGAUGACGGCCUUCGGGUUGUAAACCUCUUUCAGCAGGGAAGAAGCGAAAGUGACGGUACCUGCAGAAGAAGCGCCGGCUAACUACGUGCCAGCAGCCGCGGUAAUACGUAGGGCGCGAGCGUUGUCCGGAAUUAUUGGGCGUAAAGAGCUCGUAGGCGGCUUGUCACGUCGGUUGUGAAAGCCCGGGGCUUAACCCCGGGUCUGCAGUCGAUACGGGCAGGCUAGAGUUCGGUAGGGGAGAUCGGAAUUCCUGGUGUAGCGGUGAAAUGCGCAGAUAUCAGGAGGAACACCGGUGGCGAAGGCGGAUCUCUGGGCCGAUACUGACGCUGAGGAGCG